GUCAGUGUGUGUGUGUAUUUUAUUUUAAUUGCGAGGAAGCAAAACUAAAGAAGACUACUUGGAAAGCAUUGAAAAGCUGUGGUUCUCUGGGUGCCAUGGCACUCAAUCAAACCACCUAGAAUGGACUGGCCGAGACCAGACUGGGUACCAAGCAGAGAAGUGCAGAGGAAGGCACUGGGAGAGCACCAGAAUUGGAAAUAGAGCGGCCAUUUGGAUUUGGGCAGGAAGCAGCCGAGCACAGCUUUGGAUCCUUCUUUAGGGAAAUCGAGUUAUGGAUUUAUGGUCCCGGUCAAGCUCAGCCCAUCCCCAGCCAGGGGCGGGCUCAGCAAGCAGCA
rnacentral:lncRNA from 1 species